UUGGUGAUUGGGCUUGUAACUAUAGGUAAUAAUACCUAGGGUGGUAAUCCAGCUCGCUGUUCGCGAGCCAGCUCGUGUUCGGCUCGAAAUGAGCUCGAAAUCGAAUCGCUCAUUUAGUAAAUGAGCCGAACACGAGCUGAAUUUUUCAGCUCGUUUAACAAAUGAACCGAACACGAGCCAGUCCCAGCUCGCUCAUGUUCAGC
rnacentral:lncRNA from 1 species